UACGUAGGGAGCGAGCGUUGUCCGGAUUUACUGGGUGUAAAGGGUGCGUAGGCGGCGAGGCAAGUCAGGCGUGAAAUCUAUGGGCUUAACCCAUAAACUGCGCUUGAAACUGUCUUGCUUGAGUGAAGUAGAGGUAGGCGGAAUUCUCGGUGUAGCGGUGAAAUGCGUAGAGAUCGGGAGGAACACCAGUGGCGAAGGCGGCCUACUGGGCUUUAACUGACGCUGAAGCACGAAAGCAUGGGUAGCAAACAGG
rnacentral:rRNA from 1 species